CCUACGGGAGGCUGCAGUGGGGAAUAUUGGACAAUGGGGGAAACCCUGAUGCAGCGACGCCGCGUGAGUGAAGAAGUAUUUCGGUAUGUAAAGCUCUAUCAGCAGGGAAGAAAAUGACGGUACCUGACUAAGAAGCCCCGGCUAACUACGUGCCAGCAGCCGCGGUAAUACGUAGGGGGCAAGCGUUAUCCGGAUUUACUGGGUGUAAAGGGAGCGUAGACGGUGCAGCAAGUCUGAUGUGAAAGGUCGGGGCUUAACCACGGGACUGCAUUGGAAACUGUUGAACUGGAGUACAGGAGAGGUAAGCGGAAUUCCUAGUGUAGCGGUGAAAUGCGUAGAUAUUAGGAGGAACACCAGUGGCGAAGGCGGCUUACUGGACUGUAACUGACGUUGAGGCUCGAAAGCGUGGGGAGCAAACAGGAUUAGAUACCCUUGUAGUC
rnacentral:rRNA from 1 species